rnacentral:rRNA from 1 species
CCCUUAGAUGUUCUGGGCCGCACGCGUGCUACACUGAGUGGAUCAGCGGGUCAGGUUGCGCGAAAGCGUUUCCUAAUCUUUAAAUCCGCUCGUGAUGGGGAUUGACGGUUGCAAUUUUCUGUCAUGAACGAGGAAUACCUUGUAAGCGCGGGUCAUCAUCCCGCGCUGAAUACGUCCCUGCCCUUUGUACACACCGCCCGUCGCUCCUACCGAUUCAGUGGUCCGGUGAGGCUUUGGGAUCUGAGCGGAAAGAGCGUUUCGCUGUUUCUGCUCGGAAAACUCAGUCGAACCUUAUCAUUUAGAGGAAGGAGAAGUCGUAACA